rnacentral:lncRNA from 1 species
AUGGGCUGCUCUUCCCGAGGCCGGCAGCCCUGCAGCAAUUUGAUAGGCACAGGACAAGCAUCCUUGGGUGUGACUGGGGGAGUCUGGGUCACAAUGCGUGCUUUAUCAUUGGAGAGAGUCAGAGACCCAGGCCAAUGGACAAAUGCACUUAACCCCUCAAAACUGCUGUCUUUACUGCGUGAGGUUAUUUUCCUCCACCAGAGACUCUAUCUCAGUAGCAGAAAGUCAUUCAUGAACAAAGACCCGGGACCAAGCCAACUCAUAUUACUAGCGGGAAACAGCCGCGCCAGCAGCUCACGCCUGCAUCCUCCUCUCCCGCUGUCUCACUGGACCCUGCAGUUAGUUAUCUGGGACUUCAGCAGAGCAGAGCAGAGCCUCAUCUUACAGAGGUCAAGUGUCCCGCUGCUGCAGGGCCUUCAACCCGGGUGGGACGUGGCCAGCUAUCUGGUGAUGUAGGAAUAGGAGAGGUAUCCAUUGGUUCAGACUCUUCAGUCGACGCCUCCACUGUAAUGACAUCUGGCCUCAUAGCGGCAUGAAUAAAUUCUGGAGUUGAUACACAAGGAGGGACAAACACUUCCACAGGACUUCUCGAAUCCCUCCAGCAGGUAGGAGGUUCCAUAUGAAGCAGGGCUUCGGCAGCUUCGAUUGUCUUCUCUGUACCGUGUACAUUACUGCUGUGAACAGAUGCUUCCACCCCCGAGAUGAGCAGAUCCAGCUGGUUCGGGGUCCCUCACGCAGAGAGACGUUGCCAUGUUUAUCCCAGGGCUGGAGCUGCUGCUUCACACUGACUUGCACCGUGAGCAGCGACGGCAGGGGAGGAGGUGGACCUGCGGCCGGAGACACACGCUGUGUGGUCGGUCAACACACACUCACACACUGGCACACGCUCCAGUGCCCCAAAGGAAGCUGAGGCCGGCCCGCCUCCCGCUGCAGGGCUGAGAAACCCACCACCUAACGGCAGGGCCAGGGGGCACAGCUGGCAACGCCUACUUUAUUUUUCAAAAUCAUCACUGGGGCCAGGAGCAGUGGUUCAUGCCUGUAAUCCCAACACUUUGGGAGGCCAAGGUGGGCAGAUGACCUGAGGUCGGGAGUUCGAGACCACCCUGGCCAACACGGUGAAACCCCGUCUUUACCAAAAAUACAAAAAUUAGCUGGACGUGGUUGUGUAUGCCUGUAAUCUCAGCUACUCAGGAGACUGAGGCAGGAGAAUCACUUCAACCGCAAGGCAGAGGUCGCAGUGAGCUGGGAUCGUGCCACUGCAUUCUGGCCUGGGCAAUAGAGCAAGACCAUCUAAAACAAGAAAAAACAAUCAGGGAAUACAUUUUGUGCCAUAUGUAUUGGGUGAAUUGAGGAAAGGCUCCUUAUGGGAUAGUUCAUUUAUGCCUC